CACUCCUACGGGAGGCAGCAGUGGGGAAUUUUGGACAAUGGGCGAAAGCCUGAUCCAGCAAUGCCGCGUGAGUGAAGAAGGCCUUCGGGUUGUAAAGCUCUUUUGUCAGGGAAGAAACGGUGAGAGCUAAUAUCUCUUGCUAAUGACGGUACCUGAAGAAUAAGCACCGGCUAACUACGUGCCAGCAGCCGCGGUAAUACGUAGGGUGCAAGCGUUAAUCGGAAUUACUGGGCGUAAAGCGUGCGCAGGCGGUUUUGUAAGUCUGAUGUGAAAUCCCCGGGCUCAACCUGGGAAUUGCAUUGGAGACUGCAAGGCUAGAAUCUGGCAGAGGGGGGUAGAAUUCCACGUGUAGCAGUGAAAUGCGUAGAUAUGUGGAGGAACACCGAUGGCGAAGGCAGCCCCCUGGGUCAAGAUUGACGCUCAUGCACGAAAGCGUGGGGAGCAAACAGGAUUAGAUACCCCAGUAGUCC
rnacentral:rRNA from 1 species